CCAAAUAUACUCUUUUGUCUCUUGUUUUAUUCCCGUGUUUGCCCCCCUUUGUUCAGUCCAAUAGGUCAGUGGCAUAGUGGCGCCCCAGAACAGGGACUUCGAGGACGUGAACGAAUGUCUGCUGGAGCAGAGGAACUGAAUUUGACAAGGCAAACAGGGACCCCGGGACAAGUCUGCCAGCAGUGGAUAUAAGGAGAUGGACAAACUGUGCGUGCGACCAUGGAACGGGAGACUGGAGGAACCUAUGGUGGCCAACCAUCGGCCCGGUCCCUCCUGUACGAGCCAUGAGCCAGCUGAGCCUGAGUGCAAAGAUGGAGAGAGGGCCGAUAAGAGUCACGACACAGCUCUAAUGCUACAUUUUCUGUAAAAUUCGACGGACCACCAAUCGGAUAAUAAGAGCUGCCCAGCCUGGACUUACAUUCUUUCAAUUAAUACACAAAACAAAAAGAGGGAUAUGCAGGGAGCCGAAGGCCCGUGGGACGUGACCAGCUCAGCAUUUCACUGGAGGCUAUAUGAUCAAACAGCAAACUGUUUAUCAUGAAUGCAGGAUGUUGGCAAACUCACACUGUCCUGCCACCAAAAGGUUUGCUGAGGGACAUCAUUCCCUGAUGGCUCCUUGAAGUUAUCUACGGAGAAAAUUAGCGCCUAUUGUUCAAAGGAUGUAGUUCAAAGCCUGCUGUGAACCAAACGGCUGACUGACAAUCACCGCCCCCAACCCCGCUUUUUCGCUAUCUCUUUUGCCUAAUAAAUAUGGAGGGCUGUGUAAACCAGGGCCCUUGUCCACUAGAGGCAAGGUUCCCCCGACCCCUUUUUCCAAAUAUACUCUUUUGUCUCUUGUCUUUUAUUCCUGCAUUUGCCCCCCUUUGUUCAGUCCAAUAGAGACCAAACGUGGAAGGCAAACUAUUUACAGCUCAGUAUAUAUGUGCUUAAGUCUGUGUGAACAGAGAAAUGCCUCCCGCAGUGUUUGAAAGUGUUAAGCUGAUAAUGUAACUAACAAUUGCAGAGAGAACAAACAUUCAACUUGCCAUACACCUCAAAUUUGGAGAAACAGUUAAUUUGGGCAAAUCUACAAAUUCUGUUUUCGUUCCUAUAUUAUCAUUGUUGUUUAAUACUCACUGUACUUGUAUUUGAGAUAAAUAGGUGCUACUGAAUUUUAUACUCUAUUUUCUUUUUCAUUAAAACAUUGGCAUCUUAGUGCUAUAGAAAUUUAAGAUAUAAAAUUAAAUGUAAAAAUUAAUUUCAGCUUCAUUUCAUAUAUAUAUGUAUAUAUAUUUUUUGAGACGGAGUCUUGCUCUGUUGCCCAGGCUGGAGUGCAGUGGAACGAUCUCAGCUCACUGCAAGCUCUGCCUCCUGGGUUCACGCCAUUCUCCUGCCUCAGCCUCCUGAGUAGCUGGCACUACAGGCGCCUGCCACCAUGCCCAGCUAAUUUUUUGUAUUUUUAGUAGAGAUGGGGUUUCACCGUGUUAGCCAGGAUAGUCUUGACCUCCUGACCUCGUGAUCCACCCGCUUCGGCCUCCCAAAGUGGUGGGAUUACAGGCGUAAGCCUCUGCACCUGGCCUCAUUUCCUAUUUUGAAGCAAUCUAGACUGUUGUAAUGAGUCUGAACCUGUAAGUCUUAAAGAUUUCUUAAUCUUCUAGAAGAAAAAAUCUCCAAAGAUCUCUCUCUUCGUCCAGAAUAGCUGGCCAUUAUGCUUCUUUGAAAGGACAGGGCAGUGGGACCAGGAUGGUUUUUUGGAGUACCAAGCUAUGGAAAUGAAGCACUUUAAGGGUGCCUCUUAGUAACAUGAAUUAGGAAAUCUGUGUUGAGUACCUCGGUCUAAACAGUAAAACAAGCUGCCUGGAGAACAGCUGUACCUAAUGUACAUUAGGCAGGCUGGUCUCUUUAGCCCAAAUGAUCUGCCUGCCUCGACCUCCUCAAUUUCAGGCAGGUGUAACAGUUCCUUUCUACCAGAUUUAAUUAUUUUUAUAUUUCCUGCAGGUUCUUCUUAAAAAGUAAUCUAUAUUUUUGAACUGAUACUUGUUUUAUACAUGAACUCUUUUUAGAUGUGAUAAAGCUAAAUUUGGCCAAAGUGUGUGCCUGAAUUAUGAGACUUUUUUAUUAGUCGACCUAUGAAGGCUGAAAUGGGAUAUAUUGGUUUUCAAGGGGGUGGGGGUGGGGUUCCAGCAUAGUAUCGAAUCUCAGGAAAAACUAUGCUUUCAUCUGUGAUUCUGGGAUUUCUAAUCGUGUUGUCCACAAUGAAGAUAAAUGCAACAAAUAAAUCCAGCUUUCAGUAUUCCUUAAUUAAAUUUUACCUAAGCUCAUUGCUCUAGGUUUUGAUUACCUAAAAUAAGCUUGGGUAAAACUGAACCGACUUCAAGAAUGCAGCACUUCUUUAUCUUUAGCUCUUUCUUGGGAGAAGCUACACUUUAUUGUUCAUUAUAUUGCUAUCACAACUUUGCUCUUUCAUAAUACAGGAUAAAUUGUUUACAUGUUUGGAGACUCAGUCUGUUAACCAAGAUCGCAGAGUGUGUCAAGGAAAAAUACACUUUCUUAAUGGCAUUUGUGUUUUCUUUGUGAAAAAUCAGUCACAUAGUGUUAAGAAAGGGUCAAAGGUUUAUAAGUUGCCCCCAAUGGCCAUACUUUGAAUUAUGAUUCUCAUGGGUUUAAAGAUGUAAUUUUUUAAAGUCAGUGUUUUACCACCUAGUUAUUUGAUCUUGUCCAAUUUUGUGUUUUUUAAAAAGUGUAAAACUGGAAGGCAAAGAAAAAAGACUAUUUUCAGUAAA